UACGUAGGGUGCAAGCGUUAUUCGGAAUUACUGGGCGUAAAGCGUGCGCAGGCGGUUCGGAAAGUAAGAUGUGAAAUCCCAGAGCUUAACUUUGGAACUGCAUUUUUAACUACCGAGCUAGAGUGUGUCAGAGGGAGGUGGAAUUCCGCGUGUAGCAGUGAAAUGCGUAGAUAUGCGGAGGAACACCGAUGGCGAAGGCAGCCUCCUGGGAUAACACUGACGCUCAGGCACGAAAGCGUGGGGAGCAAACAGG
rnacentral:rRNA from 1 species